GCCGGUGUGGCUCAAUGGAUAGAGCGUCGGCCUGUGGACUGAAGGGUCCCGGGUUCGAUUCCGGUCAAGGGCA
rnacentral:tRNA from 1 species